rnacentral:rRNA from 1 species
AUGUGGCAGCUGUCGUCGCUGCUUCAGAGGCUGGCCCGAUCCAUGGCUCUGGGAAAGGAGCGGAAGGAGGAGGAGCAGGGGACGGUGCUGCGGACGUCGGGGACGCUGCGGGGCGAGGGCUCCGGGACCUUCGCCGCCGUGUGGUCCCGCCGCGGCGAGAAAGGCACCAACCAGGACUGCUCCGUCGUCUGGGAGGGGUUCGGAUGCCAGGAUGACACCAUCUUCUGCGGCAUCUUCGACGGCCACGGCCAGUGGGGCCACUACGUCUCCAAGGCCGUCCGGGACUCGCUGCCGCCAUCGCUGCUGUGCCGCUGGCAGGAGGCCGUCGCGCUGGCGUCGCUCAUCGACGGCGAGAAGAAGCUCUGCGACUCCCACUUCGACCUCUGGAAGCAGUCCUACCUUGCCGCCGCCGCUGCCGUCGACGACGAGCUCCGCCGCAGCCGCCGUCUCGACGCUGUCAACAGUGGCUCAACGGCGUUGUCGAUCGUCAAGAAGGGUGACACGAUGGUGAUCGCGAACGUCGGCGACUCCCGAGCUGUCCUGGGGACCAUGUCGGACGACGGCAGCAUCGCCGCCGUCCAGCUCACCGUGGACUUCAAACCCAACCUGCCUCAGGAGAAGGCGCGCAUCGUGCAGUGCAAGGGCCGCGUGCACUGCCACGACGACGAGCCCGGCGUGCACCGGGUAUGGCUGCCCCACCGGGAGGCGCCGGGGCUGGCCAUGUCGCGCGCGUUCGGCGACUACUGCGUCAAGGACUACGGCGUCAUCUCGGCGCCGGAGGUGACGCAGAGGAGGAUCGCCGCCCGGGACCAGUUCGUCAUCCUGGCCACCGACGGGGUAAGCAGCCAACCACCUUUUUAUGUCUUUGCUGUUGGCACAAUCCUACUGCAUCAUCUGACGGUCGUCGUAAAAUGGCGGCAGGUCUGGGACGUGGUCUCCAACGAAGAGGCGGUGCAGAUCGUGGCUGCCACGCCGGACAGGGAGAAGGCGGCGAAUCACCUCGUCCAGUGCGCCGUCCGUGCUUGGAGGCGCAAGCGGCGGGGCUACGCCGUCGACGACUGCUCGGCGAUCUGCCUCUUCCUCCACCACUCGCCGCCAUCGUAG